GUCCUUCGGCAGAAGGCCAACCCGGAAGCCCCUUCGGUGCGACGGCCAGCUUAGGCAUGGUUUUCUCCCGCCCUCGUAGGCCGCCCAGAGGGGCUGGGCUGGAGGCCCCGAUCAUGCUGGCGAUGCUGUUGCUGGCGGGGAUCCUCGGUGCUGUCGCUUUACAUAAGCUCGCUCCGGCUUGGCCUGGGGCACUCGGGCAUCUCUGGGAGAGCUGGAAGGCAACGCUCUGCUUGUGAACCACUGGGCCUCUCUCUUCCUUCUCUCCCCCCCCCCCGUUCGCGCUCCUUCAUGGCCUGGGCGGCGCUCUCGCCCGUGGGGUUGGGGGGUGCGGGGCAACUCCAAGCCCGAAAACAUUUCCUGGGCUCGUUGAGUUUCCGGCCCAGCUGGGUCGAUACCUUCCUUGCAUUCGCGACGGGAAGGAAGGAGACCUUUUGUUGCAAGCGAGGUCUUUUUCUGUCUCUCUCUCGGUCAACUGCCUUACCGUCGGUCUUCGGACAUGAACGCCGUCAUCCCCCGGCCGGACUGGGAUUUUGCGUGGUUUUGUAAGAGGCGCACCUGGCCAGCUUGGAAGGUUUUAUUAGGAGGUUUGCAAAAAGUACCCGCUUUCAUCACCGAAACAGGGUUCGAGCACCGUUUCGAAAGUCAUCCGUCCAGUACACUUCGAAGCAGUUGGGUUCAGAAUUGGUGGCUUGCCGGUAGCCACAGGUGCGCAUUUAGGCAUCCCUUCGUAAGAAGUUACUUUGGAUGAUCUGUACCUUCAUCUUGCGUGGUGCCGAUCGAGGGAAGGGACCAUUCCGUUGACUUGCAUGAACAAAGGGAAAGCGCUGUAGCCAGUAAGUGCUGACCCCGAGAUCUGCUUCAGCGUCCCUCACUACCCAAGGGAUAUGCCCUCUUAAAUAAUGUUAAUAGUUGUUGCUCCCGCUAUUGCUUCCAUGCUUACAACUUUUUGCCUCUAUAUCUCCAUUACUGCGGUUGUGUGUCUUGCUGCAUCAAAAGUUUAUUUGGUGUCAACAUACUAAGCAAGAGUAUCCUGGAAAGCAAUUCUUGGGAGUGAAUUCUACUGAACUCAGUGGAGUUUAUUUCAAAGAAAUUCUUCAUUCUCCUUGGCAUCCAUUUUCACACAUGCUGCUUCUUCCCAACCGAAAUGAGUGUUUAUCUUGAUUUAAGAGCAUUUUAGAUACAACAUGGAAGAAAUCUAUAUUUCCUAUAAUACAUCAAAGGAAGAAGAAUGGAAUUUGUAUGGCUGCAAGUAUAAUGUAAUAAGUAGUUACAUUUAUUCCUUUAAAAAUUAAUUUACAUUCUUUCUGUCAACAGUAACAUGGAAAAUACUAAAUAAAUAUAUUGCUAAUCAGAAUUGGUAUCUGCAAGGUCCAUAGCUGUUUAUUCUGAAGUUUUAUUUUCACUUUCAUGGCAUUCAGAAAGUGAAUGGAGCAAGCUCCUCAUUGUUUUCUCAUGUUAAUUCAUGUCUUGGUAGCAUUUCUGUAUUUUGAAAUCUUCAAUUUUUCAUUUGUAUAGUAAAUGAAGGAAUGUGAGGCAUAUGAAGACCAAGAAAAGUCUAACUGAUUAGUGUAUAGUAUUUGCCACCAUGUUCCAGGUCUAAUAUGCUUGAAUAAUUCUCACACUAAAUAUUUCAAGAUAUUUUAUAUGUUAUAAAAUAGGGAGUUUUCUCCCCAGAUAAAUUACAGAUUGUAUAUACAGUAUCCUAAUUGUAUGGAGUAACAAUGUUACUUUGUGACUUUCUUUGAAUUUCAGGUCUUAAAGUCAUUUGAGGCUUAAUUUGUAACAUGUAUUCUGAAAGAAAACUUUAGAAGAUACUUAAUAUUUUUCUUUUGAAUUUCCGGUUUAAUUGUUUUCAGACAUAGUAGGAUGCCUAGAAACAAAGUAGUGUAUUUUUUUUGCCUAUGCAUUCCUAGUAUAGUGUAGCAGUAUGUAGCUAGUAGCUAUAGGUAUAGCUAGUAUAUCAUUUUGAAAAGAUUACCCAGUAUUGCACAUAUAAUAUGUUAUUUGCACAUAUGUUUACUGCAGAUUUAAUUAAUAAAAGAAAAGUGUUGAUUGAAAUGCAUUAUUCUGUGUAUAAAAAAUACAGUUUCCACACUUCUGUGGUAAAAACAGUAUUUAGGAUUGCUUGCAUCAAGUUUUUUUUAAAGCUAAAAUAUUUUGACAGUUAUGACAGUCAACAUACAAAUCAUCAUUAGACAUUGAUAAAAAAUAGUAUAUAUAGGCAGAGUAAAAAGCAAUGGCACUUUUAUUUUAAAUUCCAAAAUAGGUAGAAGUAUAACACAGAAAAUUAUCUCUUGCCUUCCUCUUUAUAACUCUUUGAUAUAAGCUUCAAAUAAUUUCUAAUACAUAGGUAAGCCUUAAAAGCUUUAGGACAGUGAAAACUAGAAGAGAGGAAAUAAUAGAAAUAAUGGCAAAGGGGGGAUACUCUGUUAUGCUUCAAAUGAUCAAGAACCUGAGCUGUCACAGAUAAUCAUGUACAAUGCAAGACAUAACGAUUCAUACAUUAAGCCACUGGCUCUUUAAAAACCUUGAGAAGUAUAAAUAGGAAAUUUAAAAAUGCAUGCUUGUAAUCAGGUAAAAGUCAGUUGAACUCCAUUUGAGAGUUGUAAUCCCUCUAGUAUCUCUUAAGUGGGAGGAAAAGAUCCAGAAAUGUUCAGAAUGGGUAAGAAUGAAAAUGGAAAAACACGGAGAGAUAUUCAAAGAUAAAGGAACAAGAAAGAAAAAAUUUGGAGGCAAAAGCGUUCUUUUCUAAAACUCAACUUGAUCUUGAAUAGAACAAAGGAAAAUGAGUUUUUUUUCUUCUCAAACCUAAGGUAACUUAAAACGUAACACAAAAAGGACAAAAAUAUAAUAUCUCCACAACAACAUUAAGGAAGACAAUUCCAUCAAUGGAUUUCUAGAGAUGGAAUGUAAAUGUAUAAUUCAGCAGUGGGUAACCUAUCCCCCUUUCCCCAAGCCUGUUAUUUUCAGCCAUGGAGCUGUCUUUGAUUAUGGUUGUUGAAAACUCAUUAGUUUAAUUUAGAUAUUAGAAACACAAAUGGAUCAUGUAAACUAGAAAAUAGACAUAUUACAAUUAAAAAAACAGCCUCCCAGAAAUUUCUGCCCAACUUUCUAUUGGUGAAUUCAUGCCUUUCAUAUUCAUUGUAACUUUUUCAUUUCCAAAGGUUGUGCGCUAAUGUAAUUGAUGAUUUCUGUUUCUCGAAGGUAGAUGCUCUCAUUUUAUGAUAUGAAAAGGCACCCUUCCUCCACAGAAGACUAAUCCUGUAAACGUUUGGUGUUCUGCUUCAGAACAGCAUAUCCCAAAUUAUGCAUGGUAUUGGGCUUAUUUGUGAAUUGAUAAAAAUCAAAUCUAGACAUUUUAAAGGUGAAUUAAUAUAUAGAAGCUUUAUUAUGUUACAGCUGGUAUGAAGAGGUUGAAAAUUCUCACCUCUUCAAUGAUGUUUAUGUCAUUCAGAAAUAAAAACUGUCUGAUGUUACAAACCAGUUAAGACAAGAUCCAUCUUAUGGUCAAGCACUGUUUUGUCUUGGUUAAUACCUCUUGACUUAAUUCCAGACAAUUAUUUUUGAAACAUGUAGCUCUCAGUUUGAGGGGACUAUUUUCUAAAUACAUCUAUGAAGGAUUUCAGAUACUAUUUUUGUGAUUGUAUUCUACACUGUUUUUGAAGGAAGAGCCAAAUAUAAAUACAACCAUAACUUCAGUUUUUUCCCUUUAUGUUUACACUUCUUAUACUUUAUAAUUAUAUCUUCUGUGCCAAACUACUACCAUGUUAUAUGUCUAGAGGGGUGGGCAACUCAAGCCUCGUUAAAUUGUGCUGCCAAACCCAGAUGUGAUUUCCUGCUGGUUUUAAGUGGGAAGUGGUGGCAGCUUCAUUUUUAGGCUUAACACACCCCUAAAAUGAAAACAAACAGUCACAUUUGGAAAUCCUGGUCUCAUCACCUUGUUUGUGACAUUGCUUCACCAUCCUACCUGCUGCAGCCUGCCCUACAUAAAUAAAAUGGCAGCUCCCAACUACCAAAGCUUGCCCUCUCCUGGUCUAGUGCAUUUCUUGGUGUGUCUAAUUGUCUUGUUUUUAGUCUGUAAACAACUCUGGAUGAAGAGUAGGAUUUAAAUAAUUAAUCAGUUGCAUGGCAGUGAAAUAGUAUGCACAUUGUUCAAGAAGCAUUAAACUUAUUUGUGAUUUAAACGUAGAAAAUCAGGCCAUGCUAAUUAGAAGGUUAUUUACAUAGACAUAGUUUCACACAUCAAAAUGUGUUCCAUGUGAAAGGGAUAGAAAUAUAUAUAAAUAAAGUUACUGUAUAUAUAAAUGUACUGUCAAAGGUACUCCAUUGUUUUGCUGUUCUGGGAUCAAGGUGGGAGGUUUUGGGGUAUGCAGGGGAAAUGAAACCACUGUUUCAUUACUCAUUACUUCCAUGGGCAAGCUGGGACCUUUUGUAGAAUUAGUGUUGUACAUGUUUCUCCUAGAAUAAGUGUUAGAUCAGUGGUUCUCAACCUGUGGGUCGGGACCCCAUUUGGGGUCGAACGACCAUUUCACGGGGGUCGCCAAACAACGCAGUCCGCCAUUUUUUCCCCU